AUCAUGACAUUGGAAAUAGCAUGUUUGAUAGGGGGGAAUUACAAAGGAGUGUGUCUAGGGCACUGUUUCUCAACCUUAAUUCCAGGGACCGGCAAACUAUUGUCACUUUGUGUCAAGGAUCGGCAAGCUUUAGUUUUUCCUCCUUGGGGGACAGCCUACAUUAAAGCUAUCACUGUAGAACUGACUAAAUUGGAGUCAGUUAAAUAGCUCAAGGACCAGCCAGCAACAUCCCAGGGACCAGCACAGGUUUAAGGACCAGAGGUUGAGAAACACUGGUCCGUGACAAUGACCCAACACACCUCCAGGCUGUGUAAGGGCUAUUUUACCAAGAUGGAAAGUGAUGGGGUGCGGCAGCAGAUGACCUGGCCUCACAAUCCCCUGAUCUCAAUCAAAUUGAGAUGGUUUGGUAUGAGUCGGACUGCAGAGUGAAGGAAUAGCAGCCAACAAGUGCUCAGCAUAUGUGGAAACUUCUUUAAGACUGUUGGAAGAGCAUUCCAGGUGAAGCUGGUAGAGAGAAUGCCAAGAGUGUGCAAAGCUGUCAUCAAGGCAAAGGGUGGCUAUUAGAAGAAUAUCAAAUAUAUUUUGAUUUGUUUAACACUUUUUUAGUUACUACCUGAUUCCAUGUGUUAUUUCAAUAGUUUUCAUGUCUUCACUAUUUUUCUACAAUGUAGAAAAUACUAAAAAUAAAGAAAAACACUUGAAUGAGUAGGUGCUCUAAAACUUUUGACCGGUAGUGUAUAUGCUAGGGGUCAAGGAAGGGUAAAGAGGAACUAGAUGUGAGUGAAAGUUACUGUGAGAGGAAAGGGGAAUAGAGUAGAUGACCCAGGUCUGCUGAGUGAAGUGAACACAAGGUCACUGAUAAUCAUCAUGGAGAAGUGACCAGAUAAAGAGGAACUGCUAGCAGACGGUUCGACUGCGAAGACAACAGAGCAACAUCUAGGCAGUGUUGGGUAGCUGAUAGCAGUUCUGAGAAAGUUACACUAAUCUCAUCUUGACAUAUAAAAAGCCUGUUUGAUCAUGUGCAAAAUGUCUUUGCAGCUGUAUGACUCAUGCUUCGUCUUUCAAGUUAACCUUGGGAUAUAUGCCUAAAAAUAUGUUUUGUUCAUGUCAGUAUUGCUUUGAUAUUAAACUUCAUGCCUAAUUUGCGAAUCCAUUCAUUUUACAAAGUUAUUAAAUAACACUUGCUUUGAUAUUCGCUUCUCAUGACCCUUUCUUGAUCUUAGUCAGCUAAACACAUAAUAUUUGAUUACACAUCGUUUUACUAUAAUGUUAAAUAGAGUCAGAUAUACUUUGUAAUAUUAAUUGCAGUUUACUUUGGGCUUUUCAUCCGGAUGUCAAAAUACUGCCCGUAGCCGACGUAAGACCUUUAAACAGGUUAACA
ensembl:lncRNA